rnacentral:rRNA from 1 species
ACCAGACUCCUACGGGAGGCAGCAGUGAGGAAUAUUGGUCAAUGGGCGCGAGCCUGAACCAGCCAAGUCGCGUGAGGGAAGACGGUCCUAUGGAUUGUAAACCUCUUUUGUCGGGGAGCAAGCCUGAGCACGUGUGCCCAGGCGGAGAGUACCCGGAGAAAAAGCAUCGGCUAACUCCGUGCCAGCAGCCGCGGUAAUACGGAGGAUGCGAGCGUUAUCCGGAUUUAUUGGGUUUAAAGGGUGCGCAGGCGGGCUGUUAAGCCGGCGGUAAAAAUUCAGGGCUCAACCCUGUCGAGCCGUCGGAACUGGCAGUCUUGAGUGGGCGAGAAGUAUGCGGAAUGCGUGGUGUAGCGGUGAAAUGCAUAGAUAUCACGCAGAACGCCGAUUGCGAAGGCAGCAUACCGGCGCCCAACUGACGCUGAGGCACGAAAGCGUGGGGAUCGAACAGGAUUAGAUACCCCCGUA